GCCGGAGCAGCGGGGAAAUGUAGCCCCUUCCCUUUCCCCUUCCCCUUCGGCGGCUGGAAGGCAGAAGUCGCGCUGUCACAUGGCCCCCGGCCGGCGCGGCAGGCAGGCAGGGAGGGAAGGCGGGGAGGGAGCCCAGCCCCACCUGGAUUCGCCUCAGCGGUGCCGCCUUCCCGAGCGCCUGGUUCAAAACUCCUCGAAAAGCGCUUUAACGUAGAAAACUUGGGUUCGAGACCAGAAAGUCGGGAGGUUAGUGCAGAAUGACAGCCGUAACUCUGAAUGUCUUCAUCAGCUGCUGCUGGCAACACCCUGACAAAGUAUCUGCCACCCAGAAAACCACAUACUGUUUUCCAUGGUCUGAGAAUAGCCACUUGCUUGUUUCUCAACUAGUGAAGAAAUUUGUGUCAUCCCUUACAUCUUGCAAAAUCUGGAUCAGAAAGGCCAUUGCAGGAGACAGGUAAAUUCUCUUCCAGCUGUUAACAAACA
rnacentral:lncRNA from 1 species